AAAAAAUAAGCGAGCUUUUUCAUCAGCACAAUUCUACAGCCCACAACCUUUAGUUCUCAUCAGCACUACUUUCCCACAAUUAAACCCUAACUUUUCUAUGGUUACGAUCGAUCUCAUCUGAUCUCUUAAACCGCUUGAAAUUGUUGAUUUUUCGUUCCUCUCUUCAGUAUAAUCUUAAAUUAUUGGUAAUCCCCUCGCUCUUGUCAUCAAUUUUCCGUAAUCUCCUUGUUAUUGGCAUCAAUUUCGUAGUUUUUGGUUGAUAUAUCACUCAAAUUAGGUUGCUUAUGAGGCAUCAAUGUCAGAGUAUUGUCCACUCUAAAUUUUCCAUUGAAGCGGCUUCCGAAGCUUUCUCUCCUCUAUUGAACUAGCUUCUGAGGUAUGAUGUUUUACCAUUAAAAUCACCGAAUAUCAAUUUUACAACUUAAGGGUUUAAUUUCACUCUGACAUUUACCUUUAAAGUCAUUCUCAAACUCUCUCAAUCGGUUUCCACCACCACACCACUGACAUUUGCGACGAACGACUGCGCUCAGGCCAUGGUAAACGGUGAUGCUAAUCCGGCCACGGUGUAAGUUAUUCUACUAAAUUUGUUUUCGUCUGAAUUGUGUAAUUAGGGUUCUAAAUUUUUGUUCGUCUCUAACAUUGCUGAAACCGAAAUAUGUUUAUAUAUUUUUAAAUGUUAAAUUAGCUUGAUGUGUAAUCUCCUAUGGUCAAAGCAGUAGAUCGAAGCAGAAGCAAAUACCUAGCCGCAGAGGUUUUUUCCUCGAAUUUUUAGUUAUUUUAUUUGAAUUGUUUUCUGUAAUUUUGUUGAUUUUUAAGUGUAUAUUGAGUUUGAAAUUUUAGUUGAAUUCUCUAGGUUUUAUGUUUUGGUUAAUAUGGUAGAAAUUUUCUGGAUUAUAUUUUUUUGUUGAGUAUAUUUGGUGGUUUUGAAGCAUUGUUGUUGCAAUUUAGAUUUUUUUUUGGGUUAGAUUUUGCAUUUUCAUUUAUUUUUGUCACAAACUAGUAAAUUAUGCUCUACUGUUGUUGUUGCCCAACUAGGGUUUUGCAGUGAAACUUUUCUACAAAUUGAGGUUUAAACUGUUAAUAGAUAAAAAAUAUAUAUAUAUAUAUUUUGGUGAUUGGUUUCCAUCAAAAUUGUAGAAAGAACAAGCAUGAUGAAAUUCUAGUAUUUCGAUUCAGUGUUGUUUAUACACUAUAUAAAUCGUUAUCAAAGUCUUUUUUUGGCUGUCAAAAUUAAAACUAGAGAGAAUUAUUUUUUUCUUUACGAGGUCUUUUUCUCACAUUUAUGUUGUCUAUUGUGGUUUUGUAUAUACAAAUCUGUAGAUAUUAUCCAGCAACUUUUUCCAUUCUGAUUUGUAUUGGUUAAUCUAUCUCUGUUAGCAAUGAAAAGUAGGAGCUGCUUUUGUUUCUUUAUUGUUUUGAAUGGAUGAUUUUCUACUGCUUUUUCUGCACAUUUGUUUCUAUCUCUCAUUUGUUUUAUCCUUAGUUACACAGUAAAGAAAAAACAAAUUGCUGCUCCUUCGCCUUUUUUUUAUAAAAUUAUUUGGUUUAACAUGUAGAUUGCAGCAAUGGUGAUUCUCAGCAUCCCAAACUGGAACUUCCUGGUACUAAUUACAUGCCCCUGAAUCGAUAGGUAUUUUAUUUAAUUUUUAUAAAAUGCAGUUUUCAAAACUCUAUCAAAAGGCAAAGAGCUCUAGAUAUCUUCUAAGAUCAAGAUAUUGUAUAUAUCUUCUCCCAAUGUUACCCAUAUAGAGCUUUAAACUUAUAGUCAAAGUUUUCAGGAUAGUGCAAGAAAGGCCCAUAAGCCUUAUGGGGAGGAAAAUGGAUCUGCAAAUGCAAGUCAUCACCAAAAUAAAUGUUGGUUAUAAUCUCAUAGUUCCUAAUAUUGAGUAUUGUUGUAUUGGGUGAUUAGUUAAUAGUUUUAUUAUGUAAUAAUAUGUAUUAUUGUUGAACAUUUCUAUUAUAGAAUAUGGAUUAUAUUUUCUAUAAACUAUUAGUUUUACAUUAGUUUAACACUAAAAUGGUUCUCCUGAUUUGAAGGAUGAGCUCUUGUGGGCAACUACUUGAUUGUACAGAGCCACAAAUAAUGACUACUACUUGCAGCAUGCAUCUUACAGUGCAGCCAAUUUAGGUGGAGCUGGUAAUUCAGUCAAGAUGUUCUCUUGGGAUAACAAGUAUGCUAGUGUAUAGAUCCUUCUAACAAAGGUUUUUCUUGGAUGGAGAUAGUCGAGCAUAUAGUGACACUCUGAAGCAAUACAAAGCCAAAGCAGAUUUCUUUGUUUGCGCUUAUUUGCAGAAAAACAAUGGUGACAAUGUUCCCAUGACUCCAGGUCAAUCUUCUAUAUCUAUUCUUAUUUGUAAUGUUUAAGAUUUUGGUGCAUAUGCACUGUCUAAUGGUACAGAUGAGACCGAGCUUAAGCUGACUAUUUCUUUCCUUGUUCUUAUGAUUAGGAGGGCUGGUAUUCCUACUCGCGUCAAACAAUUUGUUGGUAACUUUAGUGUUUAUAUUUGUUGGUAACUGAUAUCUUACAUACGUCUUAGCUUUUGUGCUGCCACUUGAUGAUGCUCAUGACUUUUUGUGUUGGUGAAAAAAUAUGUGUGCGUAUUUGGUUUAUGUAUGGUAGUGUACGUGUGUCUUAGAUUUUUGCAUGUGUGGAAAAAGUGUGCAAUGGCAAUGUGGCCUUCUAAACUUCACAGGCCUUUGCAUGCUUGCUGCCCAAGUUGUAUCUUGUUUUUGUGCUUUCUCCAUCAUCAUACUCUAUUUUUUAUGAAAAAUUUUACUUUGCCAUUUAUUUCAUCAUUUUUUCUUAGAAAUGUUUUUCAAGUACCAAACUCAUCAAAAAUAACACUUAUACCAUUGCAUUCCUUUAGAUAAUUUUUUUACCCCUGUAUUUCUUCUAACAAUUAAAUAUUAUAUACUUAUUCAUUUUUCUUUUUUUUUUAAGGUUAUGAAUGCAACAUGAGAACAAAGGAAACCUACUGAAGCUGGAAAUUAGCCUACUAUGCACCUUCAUUUGUUUAUAGUUAGUUAGAUAGUAGUUAACUUAUGUAGGCUUCAAUCUAACUUUUUAAUUUAGUUGGCAGUUGAUAUAUGUAAUAAUAAUUAUGAUAUUUAAGACAUAGCUAGGUUUUUUUUAAACAUCCAUCAGUGAUAGUAUGUAGGCCAGGGAUUGGAUUUCAACUCUUUUUUGUUCGUUAAUUUUGAUAGAAACUUUAUUAAUUUUAUAUAUGUUUUAUACCUUGUUGGUAGUG